CCAGGCUCCUGUGCUUAAUCUUUCUUAACUGGAUCAUCAGUGCUUGGGAAAUGGGCAGGAUAACCAUUUAAAGAGAUAAUUGACUGCACAAAUCAGCUCAUCCCUUCAAGGGAUAAAUUUUCUCACACUUUCUGGUUCUGUAAUAGGUCAGGGGGUUGUUGGAGACAGAGCUGGCUUUUUCCCUGAUGUCCAGGGUCCUGAAAUGAAGUAUGGCUGGGCCACUUGACUGGGAGUGCAGUUACAGAAGCCAAUGCUAGUGCUGCAGAGAGCGUGAUGCCCAAAGUGGGUGCAUCUCUGAUGGUGUAAAGGAUGAAGAACAAGCUCUGAGAAAGGUUAGCAGGAAGCUCGAUUCAAGUCACCAGCAGAAAACAGAGUUGCCUUCAUGUCUUUACUCUCAAGGUUCUGCAGCUUGCCAUAGCGGAAACCUGAAUCUUGUUAAAUGGAGAUGGGCAAUACAGGCAAUGGAUCCUUCAGGUCUCCUUCUUCCAAGCAAAUGUAGCCCUGGGAACACUUUCAUUGAAAAGAAAGAAGAGACAAAGUGACUGGUGACUGGUGAUACAAAAUCAGAAUAAGGAUA
rnacentral:antisense_RNA from 1 species